GUCUGAGUGAUCCUGUCUGAUGAGGCUGAGGUGUUCUGCUGUUUUCUCAGGCUUGCCAGCAGCGUCUGGUGGCCUCCAAUGCUGCUGUCUUCAGUCCCCCUUGCUGACUGUUCUGACAGCCUUGCUGGCUGGCUCCGUCUGGCCCCAGGUCCUAGAAUCGAUCCUGAUGAUAGAAAGAUGUCUGCAAUCUCAGCCCGAUUCCCCAUCCAAUAGCUCUGAGAAUUCAAUCAAAUGCCCCUGCAGAUUCAGAAUGCCACGCUGUGCCACGUCUGCUAACUUUCUAUGCCUGCCAAUGUCCUUUGCUGCCAACCAGCUCCAAGGCACUGUUUCUUGACUCAUGCCUAGAACUCCACAGCUUCAAGAUUUCAAGACUUGUCAGUAAGGCUCAGAGGCUUGCUUGAUGAUACUGGGUGAUCAGACAUAUGAGGGUUUCCGAAGACAUCUGGACAUCAACUUUUUUUUUAGACAGAGUCUUGCUCUGUCGCCCAGGCUCGAGUGCAGUGGCACGACCUUGGCUCACUGCAACCUCCGCCUCCCGGGUUCAAGCAGUUCUCUGCCUCAGCCUCCCGAGUAGCUGGGAUUACAGGCGCCUGCCACCACACCCAGGUCAUCUUUGUGUUUUUAGUAGAGACGGAGUUUCACCAUCUUGGCCAGGCUGGUCUUGAACUCCUGCCUUCGUGGUCCACCUGCCUCGGCCUCCCAAAGUGCUGGGAUUACAGGCGUGAGCCACCGUGCCGAGCCAC
rnacentral:lncRNA from 10 species